rnacentral:rRNA from 1 species
UUCGCAAUGCCCGAAAGGGUGACGAAGCGACGCCGCGUGCGGAAAGAAGGCCUUCGGGUUGUAAACCGCUGUCGGGAGUUAAGAAAUGUAAGGAUGUUAAUAGCAUCUUUGCUUGACUAAGGCUCCGGAGGAAGCCACGGCUAACUCUGUGCCAGCAGCCGCGGUAAUACAGAGGCGGCAAGCGUUGUUCGGAAUUAUUGGGCGUAAAGAGCACGUAGGCGGCUAUGUAAGUCGGUUGUGAAAGCCUUCCGCUCAACGGGAGAACAGCAUCCGAUACUGCAUGGCUUGAGUGCGGGAGGGGAGAGUGGAACUUCUGGUGGAGCGGUGAAAUGCGUAGAUAUCAGAAGGAACGCCGGCGGCGAAAGCGGCUCUCUGGCCCAUAACUGACGCUGAGUGUGCGAAAGCUAGGGGAGCAAACGGGAUUAGAUACCCCGGUAGUCCUAGCCGUAAACGAUGGGCACUAAGUAGAGGGGUUUU